UACGUAGGUGGCAAGCGUUGUCCGGAUUUACUGGGCGUAAAGGGCGUGCAGGCGGUUCGCUAAGUCUAGGGUGAAAGCCCCCGGCUCAACUGGGGGAGGUCCUUGGAUACUGACGAACUUGAGGGAUGCAGAGGAAAGUGGAAUUCCCGGUGUAGUGGUGAUAUGCGUAGAUAUCGGGAGGAACACCAGUGGCGAAGGCGGCUUUCUGGGCAUUUCCUGACGCUGAGACGCGAAAGCGUGGGGAGCGAACCGG
rnacentral:misc_RNA from 1 species